AGAGUUUGAUCCUGGCUCAGAUUGAACGCUGGCGGCAUGCCUUACACAUGCAAGUCGAACGGCAGCGCGGACUUCGGUCUGGCGGCGAGUGGCGAACGGGUGAGUAAUGCAUCGGAACGUACCUUUCAGUGGGGGAUAACGUAGCGAAAGUUACGCUAAUACCGCAUAUUCUGUGAGCAGGAAAGCAGGGGAUCGCAAGACCUUGCGCUGAUGGAGCGGCCGAUGUCAGAUUAGCUAGUUGGUGGAGUAACGGCUCACCAAGGCGACGAUCUGUAGCGGGUCUUAGAGGAUGAUCCGCCACACUGGAACUGAGACACGGUCCAGACUCCUACGGGAGGCAGCAGUGAGGAAUUUUGGACAAUGGGCGCAAGCCUGAUCCAGCCAUGCCGCGUGAGUGAAGAAGGCCUUCGGGUUGUAAAGCUCUUUCGGCCGGGAAAAAAUCGCUUGGGUUAAUACCCUGAGUGGAUGAUGGUACCGGAAUAAGAAGCACCGGCUAACUACGUGCCAGCAGCCGCGGUAAUACGUAGGGUGCGAGCGUUAAUCGGAAUUACUGGGCGUAAAGCGUGCGCAGGCGGUUUUGUAAGACAGGCGUGAAAUCCCCGGGCUCAACCUGGGAACUGCGUUUGUGACUGCAAGGCUAGAGUAUGGCAGAGGGGGGUGGAAUUCCACGUGUAGCAGUGAAAUGCGUAGAGAUGUGGAGGAACACCAAUGGCGAAGGCAGCCCCCUGGGCCAAUACUGACGCUCAUGCACGAAAGCGUGGGGAGCAAACAGGAUUAGAUACCCUGGUAGUCCACGCCCUAAACGAUGUCAACUAGGUGUUGGGUGGGUAAAACCAUUUGGUACCGUAGCUAACGCGUGAAGUUGACCGCCUGGGGAGUACGGCCGCAAGGUUAAAACUCAAAGGAAUUGACGGGGACCCGCACAAGCGGUGGAUGAUGUGGAUUAAUUCGAUGCAACGCGAAAAACCUUACCUACCCUUGACAUGCCAGGAACUUGCCAGAGAUGGCUUGGUGCCCGAAAGGGAGCCUGGACACAGGUGCUGCAUGGCUGUCGUCAGCUCGUGUCGUGAGAUGUUGGGUUAAGUCCCGCAACGAGCGCAACCCUUGUCGUUAAUUGCCAUCAUUUAGUUGGGCACUUUAACGAGACUGCCGGUGACAAACCGGAGGAAGGUGGGGAUGACGUCAAGUCCUCAUGGCCCUUAUGGGUAG
rnacentral:rRNA from 1 species